rnacentral:misc_RNA from 1 species
AUUUAUUAUAUUAAAAAAAAAAAAGAAAAAAGAAAACUAGACGAGAAGCCUCUCUGUCCCUUUCUCGACUCUAUCUUUCUCUCUCUGCUUUAAGUUCUGUUUUGCAGAGAGAGAACGCUCGAGGGAAUUUACUUGAGGGGGGAAUCCAUGGAUUUGAAGAAACUCUGCUUAGUAAUCUCUGUUUCAGCUGUGAUUUCGUUGUUCUGUUACCCGUCUUCUGUUACAGCUGGGGACAUAGUGCAUGACGAUGAUUC